CUUCCACCAAAGUAUUAGUCAAUGGUUUUCCCAGUGUUUCUGGAAGCAUUAUGGUUAAGAUUCCACUCAGAAGAGCCAUGAUUCCAACAAGCAACUGGAAGAAAUAAACAGUAGCUGUAAAGGCAUGUUCACAGAGCUACAAUUUCCAUGCCACCUGUAAUCUCAGUUCACACUCCAGCUCCUGUGUACCUGUACCUGUGUGCUUGUUCCUUCUCCACACAGCCAGAUUGGAAUUUCUCAAUAUGGCUCAUUGGCCCAGAGCCACAGAAGUGCACAUCUGUGCUCAAGAGAGCUCUUCAGCAUCUGCUAGCUCUCAACAGGAAUACUUUGCUAAAUUCAGUUUCAAAGAACUGUCAGGAGUGCAGACAUCUACUGACAUUUGCACUGGGAUCACUGGAUUUUGGAUUUGUCCAUGGUGUACACAAUUCCACAUCAACAGCAUAAGUGGUGCAAGGAUCAGAAUAAUGUGGGGUCAGUAGAGAAACACUCCCUUGUUCCAGGAAUAUCUACACUUUCCAUUCACAUUCCCUUCACCCAGACAUUUCUAUGUCUUGUUCAAUGACACCAAUUCCCACUUUGCUCCUCUGAGUACAGAACAGCAUUAAACCCCUGACAGUCCUCCAACACCAGGUUAUAAAUGACCUAAUUCCCUCCUGACAGAAAAGCUUUCACACAGAACAUCAUGCCUGGUCUCAGUGUUUUUCCAUUCUGUGACUGUGAACUUUGAUGCUGUAUUAUCUUUAUCUUUCCCUCUGCUGAUUCUGAAGUCUGUCCUUUGUUUAAUGCAUUCUUUCCAAGGGUGAGAGAGAACAUUUGGAAUCACUGUGCCUGUGUCUCUCACACAGAGCUUGAGACAAGAGCUGCCCAGCUACCAUCUGCAGCUAAGCCAGAUUUUAAGUCAGAAAGGUGCUUUAAAAUCAGAAUUCCCUACUGUAACCUUGAACAGUGGUAUUUGCCUGCCCAUGCACCAUGCUGGUUUUGCUUCUCUUCCAAAAAAAGGACAGUUUGUUUUGUGUAUUCUUUUGAGAAGCAAAAUGCACUGUUGCAUAUCUUCCUUUUUGCAUUUGCAAUAAAUAUAGAGCCAGACCAAAAAAAAAAAUCAAAAUACUGUUAAAUACUACAAACUACAGUGAAAAUAAAAGUCAUGGUCUUACCAUGAAAGUUAAAAAAAAUUUAAAAUCCUAGCAGUAAUAGAACUAGAGGAAAUGGCACAAACUGAGUGAGAUCCCUUUAGACAUGUAUGUGGAAGGAGUGAUAGUUAAAAAUAUAUUGCAAAAUAUUAAAAUCUCAUCUCUGAGUGUCAAAUUUCUUCUCUACUAUUCAGACAUGAUUUUCUCUCAUGGAAAGACAGGAUAAAUUGACACAUGGCAGCUAUUCCACAAUAUUCUCUUUUAUGUACACCCUUUAGUCUGUCAGAAGUUUAUAACUGAGGAUAUUGGGGUCUGUAAAGGAUAUUGCAUCUUAGGGACACCCAUAAAUUUGGAGUGUAUGAGAAUUGGGUCACUAGUCAUACUCAAAAGAACAAGCUUAAAGUAAAACUGUGUGCUUUGAAUAUGUGUGUCUUUUUUCGUUAUUCUUUUUAGACACUUGGAAUUCUUCUCAUGUUUUCCCUCCUCAUGAACCUACCUCUCAUUCCCCUGAGAACUCUCACUAUUCUGUAAGUGUACACACCACCAUCUUUCCUGCCUUUUCAUCUCAGCUCUCAUAACUCUAUUUCAUCCCAUCUUAGUUUCCUUUUUUUUUUCCUUCUCUAUGUGAAAGCUGCUGCAUGCUGAGUAAUUCAGUACAUUUCCUUCCCUGACCCUCGAACCCUUUUCCAGUAUUUCCUACAACAGACAGAGUAUGAAAUAAUUAAGUCACAGUGUAUUAAUUCAAGGACAUACCUUUUCAAGGGCAGUAGCCACAGUUAUCAAUGAAGGGACUCACAUUUAGUAAAAGCAACUUUUUGCAGUCUUGGCACACUUCUUCAUAAGUCAUCUGACAUAAUUUAACCCUUUGCUUGCUCACUACAAAUGUAUCCAUUUUGUAUGCAUGUAUUUACUAUUUUAAAAACACAAUUCAAUAUCAGCAAAUGUUCUGAUGUGGUCAAAUGCUUAUGUGUACAAAUAAAGUGUAUUUGUGUCAUUGUACAAGGUAUUUAAGUACGUUUAAGUAUGUUGAAGUCAAUUUGACAGAUAUACAUGGUUAAAUACAUUGUGUUUUCAGGGUGUUAAUUUGAAAUCUGACUUUUUGCUUAGUCAAACUCUUAGAGUGUUCCCAACACUUCAGUACAAACAGCAGCUUCUAAAGAUACCAUAGAAACCUUCCGAAAAUAUUUACCAUAAUUUUUCUUAUGUCCUCUUCCCUUUCUGGGACAACAUUUAUAAUUCUGCAGUGAUCUAAGACUAGAACUUGAUAUACAUACUCCAGAACAAAAGAUAAUUUGAAUUAAAUAUCCCUACAAAAUAAUGCCUUUACUUCUGAGAAUAAAUUAUUAUUGUAGUCUGCUAUUUAUAUUAUAUUUAUAUUUAUAUUUACAUCUGAUGGCUCUGAACCAAUCUAAAAUGUCUUAUCAAUCUAAAUGAUCUUAUCGACAAAAUUCCUACUUCAACAAAAAAGGUUAUAUUUUGACAUGAAAAACCAAUAGUAUUUGACAGAGGGUUUGUAUUCAUUUAUUAAUACCAGUGUGGGCUUUUUAAAUUUCUAAUUUAUAUUUUUUUCUGAGAGAAAAAUCAACCCUGUUAAAGAGCUAUUGCAACAUAAUUCUUAACAGCUGAGAAACAGAAAUAGGUUAUAUAAGGAGCAGUUGUUUUACUGCACAUUUUCUAUAAAGUUGUCACAUGAAAAACAUACUUGGCAAGUUAUUCAAUUUAUAGACUUAUUGAAGAUUUAUAGCCACUCAAGAUGCUUGCAGUACUCACAGGUGGCAUAGCUGUGCACGAGGCAGAGUGCCAAACAAACAGCAGCAGUAACUGUUCCACAGUGUGUGGUGUUUGCAAUAGAGCAGGGUGAUCUGUAUCAGUUUACUUACAAAUGUAAUCCAUUUGAUUUCACUUCCAUUCCAAAACACUUACUUGACCUGAGACUUGGCACGCUAUGCUCCAACUCAAGGCAAGCCUAUUUAAUAAACUGACAAAUGCUCUAUAACAGGAGCUAAUAAUGGAAACAUGUUCACUGUGAACUACUACUCAACUCUACAAAAACUCUGGAUAACUUUUGUACCCUGAGAGUUGUUCAUAGCUGAAAUAAUUCCUGUGUUUAUACUGCCAUUUGCCCUGCUCUCCAAAACAUCUGAGUACUCCCCCCAGCUGUGGUUUAACUGCAGCACUUCUGCACAGAUAAGUCUUAUUUCAGACAGUAAAGGCAAAAUGCUGACAAGAGGAAAAAAAGAAAUGUUCUCCCAUGACCACUCUGCAGUGCAAAUGUUUCUUUGUCUUUCCUGGGAUCAUAUCUUGAUAGAGACGUUGUUAAGAAAGAAAACAUUUUUAGGAAGUGGAACAAAAAAAUUCAUUUGUGGUCUCCUUCAUCCAUCCUUGGUAGUUUUUCAUCAAAGACAACCAAAAGUAAUUCAUUUAAAUAAUGAAAUGAGCUCACAAAAAUUCUCUGAAACAAUCUAUAAAUAAAUAUUUUUUAGUUGCCAAAUCAAAGGGACACAAUGUCCUUGUUUAGGAAACUCCACUAUGGUGGAUAAAAUUUGACUAAGAAUCCAGGUUAAAGAGACCCCAUUACACUUUCAAUUUCUGACAUUUAUAAUCUACAUAUAAGCAGUGCCUUAGUCACAGUGAAUUCUAAGGGGUUUUUGAAAGAAUUUAAACUAUUUAAAAUCAUUAAUAAACAUUACUUAAAGCUUUAAUACAGAUUUUGUAAUUCAUUUGGUUUUACAUAUAUAGGCAUAAUUUAUCCUUCAGGAGAAAAAAUGGAUUGAAUUGCUGCAGGAUUUCUAAGCAGGAAAUGCUUCAUAACAGAAAUGCAAUGAAGAUACGUGAUUCAUGUGUGAGCAGGGAACACAUAAAAUGUUUUGUCCAAAGUGGAUCUACUGCAAAGUGCCCAAAGUACACAAAGGAAUGGUCCCACCUCUCUUUUUUGGGUCAACUGGUGGUAAAAGACAAACCUAAUGGUAACCUGACCUGGUUUUGCUGGUUGUCAAAGUCACCAUGAAGCUCAUCAAUAUACCAUUUCUUUAUCUUUUCCUAUCUCAUUAAUUGUUUCAUUCUGUUCUGGUGAAAAACACAACAGGAGCUUUGGGGCAGGUGUGGAGAACAAAUAUAGUAAGCAUAACACCUUGAUCUUUUAGGAGGCUAUUCCAAAGGUGCAUCCCAAAGAAGCUGUGGAAAAUGUUGAGGCAUAAUGUAAGAAAAUCCAGCUACCUGUGGUGACUUCAGGAAUGGAAGAACCAUGCCUUUGAAAAAAAGUGACACUAAAUCAGGAGCAUGGUCAAAAACUGCUGGGCUUUCAAAAAAGUCUGGACUACGACACUUCCUAAACAUUACAUGCCUUGACCUGAAGUCAUGAUUUGGUGUCUGAUUCCUGCCAGGAAAGAUCCCAAUAAGUCUUAGCUAUCAGAGCUCUUCUGUUGGGAAAUCUGUUAAUUGGUAAUGGGAGGAUACACAAGCUUAUUUCCCAUGAGCCAGGAUGUGUCAGAAAAUAAUAACUUGCAGCUGUAAAUUCUGGAGCUGUAAAUCUGCAACUCAGAAUGUGUGUAUUAUCUUAACUGGUUGUCCAUGGGUUGAAUUAAUGGAAAUGAGAACAAUACAAUCCUAACCUUAUAAAUCAUGUCCAAGUAUUAAUUAAUAAAAUUAUGAAUUAUUUAAAGAGACUCAAAACAGAUGUUGGCAUUAUAUUCUGGUUUUGUAUUAAAUACAGUUUUACAAAGCCUGGGAUUGGGAGGCAGAUUGAUUCCAUGUGUUCUAAAAGCCAAAUUAAAAGGAAAAAGUUCAUCAUUGCUUUUGCAUUCCCAUGUGGUGACUGUCACACUGUAGUGUUGUGCUAAUGAAGGAAAAUCAGAAAACAACACGCCUGAUCUCCUUGUUGUGCUUACACUGUUAGAUGUGGGAUGGAACUUCACUCUCUACCCAGCAGAACUGUCAGUCAACAGGCUCCUUUAUAGAAAGACAUAAAUAACUCUAAACCAGCCUUCACAGCAAAGCACAGGUACAGAAAGUGCCCAGGACAAAGCUAAGUGCAACUGAGGCUGGACAUUUGAUUCUCAUAUGGACAGACAGGCAUGGCUGGGUGCUCUCUGAGGCAGGAAUAUGCCACAGAUGCACACCCUGAGGCUCACUGUUGCUUCUGAGUCCAGCUCUGAUGCUGGGUUUCAGUGCAUGGUUGGAGAUAACACCCAAGGAAGAACUCUUGGACAGGA